rnacentral:rRNA from 1 species
GACGAACGCUGGCGGCGUGCUUAACACAUGCAAGUCGAACGGAAAGGCCCUGCUUUUGUGGUGUUCUCGAGUGGCGAACGUGUGAGUAACACGUGAGUAACCUGCCCUUGACUUUGGUAUAACUUCAGGAAACUGGGGCUAAUACCGGAUAGGCGCUCCUGCUGCAUGGUGGGGGUUGGAAAGUUUCGGCGGUGGGGGAUGGACUCGCGGCUUAUCAGCUUGUUGGUGGGGUAGGGGCUUACCAAGGCUUUGACGGGUAGCCGGCCUGAGAGGGUGACCGGCAAAAUUGGGACUGAGAUACGGCCCAGACUCCUACGGGAGGCAGCAGUGGGGAAUAUUGCACAAUGGGGGGAAGCCUGAUGCAGCAACGCCGCGUGCGGGAUGACGGCCUUCGGGUUGUAAACCGCUUUGGCCUGUGACGAAGCGUGAGUGACGGUAAUGGGUAAAGAAGCACCGGCUAACUACGUG